rnacentral:lncRNA from 1 species
GAGAGAGAGAGAGAAAAUUAGCUGGGAAAGUUCGACGCACCUUAUAAUAUUUAAGAAUUUUCAAACUUCUAAUAUCUAAAUUAAUUAUUAAUAGUGAUUGCUCCUCAACGAAGGCAUUCUAUGUGGGUAAGAAAAUUUCAAGCACACACUUACAUGGCCUGUUCCAUGCCUUAUUUUUCUGCUGAAGAUGGGAGUACCUUGAUGAAAAUUACGGC